GUGUAUGGCUUUUUGAGGCCACCUGUAUUUACAAUGCAUAAUGGUAUGUCUUUAGGAACAGCUUCUCUUUGGGCUUAAAAAAUGUGAAGCGGAUGUGAAUGGUUCUAUCCCAGAUAAACCUCAUAUGAGACCCACUCUAUUACACACAGAUCCUCAGGGCUCCAUACAAUUUAAUUAUAAAGCACCGAAAUAUAAACUGACAAAAGUGACUAAUGAAAGAAAGAAAUAAUGAAUUGAAGUUUAUUUUAUGAAAAUGGAAUGUUUUCUCCCCCUCAGGGUGAACCUUACAAUGAGGCAGCCCAGCACUUGCACAGCAAUAGAAUAAUGGAAAACAGGAACAGCAUGCUGACGCUCCAAAUCAUAAGUUACCCUGGAAGCAAAAUGGCUUGGUAGGAAUUUUCACUCAGGCCAGACAUCUUACUUUAUGGUCUGCAGCCAUACCGUUUUGGGCCAAGAUCUUAUCCGGUGUCACAAACUAAACUGUAUCCAGAAUGGUCAAUACGUAAACCCUUCCAGUGCAAGACAAGAAGUAUUGUUAAUGAAUAGCUUCACUGGAAAACAACCUCCUGAGAAUCCUUGGUUGACAAGAUUUUAUUUUACCUUUAUACCCCAAAAAGAAGAAACUCACUUUUGAUUUCUAGAAGGUAGCACCAACUACAGCAAGUCAUUUUCAUCUGUUCAAAAAACAUAAUAAUAUAACAAUUAUACCUUUCAUUUCAGUGGCACUUUUCCUCUGAGAAUUUCAAAGCUCCUGAGAAAAAUUAAACCAAGAUUUCAAAAGAUAGGCACUUAAGUUUAAGUUUCCAGGAUCUGAUUUAGAUUCCUGAAGAAAUCGGCUGAUUGUCAAAAGCACAGAAUACACAGCUUUACCCAUUUGGCGUUACUGGGAAGUGGUGAGGGCUCAACACUUUUGAAUCUUAAACUGCAAUUUUUUGGGAGCCAAAUGUAUACUUUUAAGAUGAACUGCAAGCUUCUUUAAAAAAAUAGAAAUACUUUUUCAACAUAAGGACAUCAUGCAUUCUGAAAUCUUUAUAAAAAACAUAGAGUUAUUUGGGGGGAAAGUACCAAUUAUUUAAUUUCUUGAUAAAUAAAACACUCUUAGUUUCCCCUCAUAUUCUAAACAUAUUGCAUACAUUGCUUAAAUAUUAAGCUGUUAUCCUUUCUAUCUAUAGCAAGAACAAAGAUAAUUUUCAUAGGUCCUUUAUGGAAUAUAGAAGGCAACCUUAUUAUGGAUGAUUCAGAGAAGGCUGAAGUAUUUAAUGCCUUUUGUACUUCAAUCUUCACAAAUGCAGGCAGCUACCAGAUAAGUGCAGUUGGCAACAAAGAUAGGGAAGGAGAUAAAUAGCCCAGAGUAAUAACAGAACAGGUUAGGGCUUCCUUAGAGAAGUUAGAGGGUUUCAAGUUGGCAGGGCCAGAGAGGAUGCAUCCUAAGGUACAGAAGGAAUUGGGUGAGGUAAUUUUGGGGCUAUUGGCUAUCCUCUUUGGAAACUUGUGGAGGUCAGGUGAGGUCUGGGAUGACUGAAAAGGGCAAAUAUAGCACCCAUCUUUAAGAAUGGGAAGAAGGAGGUUGCAGGGAAAUACAAACCAGCCAAGCUGACCUUGAAACCUGGAAAGUUCAUGGAAUAGGUCAUCAAGGAAUCUAUGUGUUUUCUUUAGGAAGCACCUGGUGAAGAACAAGGUGAUCAGGAAUGGAUGAAUUCAACAAGAGCAAGUUAUGCCUGACAGGCAUGGGGAUAGAAUAAUGGAUGUGUUAUUCCUUGGCUUUAGCAAGGCUUUUGACACUUUCUCCCAGGACAUUCUCAUUAACAAGCUAAGGAAAUACAGAAUAGAUUAAAGUACAUGUAACCAGUUGGAUCAUCAUACUUAGUGAGUAAUUAUCAUUUAUCAGUGGCUCAGCAGCUCAAUGAUUGGACAAUAGGGUUGAGCACCUACUUUGCAAAUUUGUGGAUGACACCAAGUUGGGUGGAAUAUCAGUUUUUCUGGAGGCUGUGGCUAGUACCUAGAAUGACUUGGAUAGAUUGGAGAAAUGGUCCACAAUCAAUCAAAUAAGAUUCAACAAGGACACAUCAAAAGUCCUGCAUUUGGGAUGGAAUAAUUGCAUGCACAAAUACAGACUGAGGAAUUUCUGGCUAGGCUGCCAUACUGCAGAGAAGGACCUGGGAGUUCAGUAGACCAUAGGUUGAGUAUGAGCUAAAAGUGUGCUCUUGUUGUUAUUGGGCUAUAUUAACAGGAGUUAAUGACCUUGGGAGACAGGACUAGGAGCUCAAGCUCCAAUAGGGGAAAUUUAGGUUGGAAAUUAGGGGGAACUUGCUGACUGUGAGGAGAGUCAAACAUUGCAACAGACUCCAUAGAGAAACAUCCUUGGAGGUGUUCAAGAACAGAUUAGACAGACACUUGACUCAGGUGGUUUAGUCAGGAAUGCUCCUACCUUGAGCACGGGGUUGGACUAAAGGACCCUUCCAGCUCCACUUUCCUAUGAUUCCUAUGUUAAUAGAGAGACUGUCAUUGCCAUGGAACUAUGUAUGUUUUGUCACUAGCAUAUGGAGAAUGUAACAUACAGUUUUUAAAUGUGAAAAUGUAUGCAUGUAUACAUAAGUAAGCAUGAAAAUUAUGAGGAAAAAUUUGGCACCGCACCCUAAAUUCUAGCACCACCCAUAGGUCCCAAGCUUCUUUUUUUUCCCCUGAAGACAGUGAAUGAGGUAACAGACUUUUAAAAAAGACCACACCCUCUAAAAACUGUGACAUAGUCUUUCUUUAAUAUUUUAUUAAUACCAUACUAGACCUGCAUCAACAGAAGUGUCUGCUUAAAAACAAAUAACACAGUGUGGCCCAUAGGUAGACCAAGAGACAUUUGAGUCCCGAUUAAAAUAGUUUAGGCUGUUCUCUGUUACCUGACUAUGUACUGGUUCUUUUCCUAUCCCCCUCUUUCUAUGUCUUUCUUGUUAUGCUCAUUGGUAAUUCAGUAGUUUUCCCAUUUUGGUACAUAUACAAACAGAAAGUUUUGUAGCAUUUAAUUAGGGCCGGUAAGAUUUUAUCCUUGUUUCUUAUUGUUCUUCCGGUUUUAGCCCUGGAGUUCUGUGACAACAUUUUUCUUUCUUUUAUUGCUGGUUUUUUUUCCCAGUUGCCUCCUUGUGACUGCAUUGCAGAAGUUGGGGCAGUAUUCUGCAGCAACAGAAUCACUUAAUAGUACUUGAUUUCAUACCAUCUGGCUAUUUCCAGGCAUGUCACUGGACUUCAUUUCCAAUAUAAUCAUGUUCUAGUUUUCUUGAAGUACAAGUACAAACUGAACUUUCCAGAAGCUAAUAGCAGUACUGACAGUAUAACAUGCAACCAAUAAAGUUUUAUGGCACAAUCUCAUGAAAACAAAAACAAAAAAUGAAGGAAUUAGUACCUUUGGGUCUCAAGUAAGGAUUUCCAUAAUUCUGAAUGUCUGAAAUUGGGCAACUAUAUCAUUUAAGUACCUAAAGAAAGAGCCUUCAUGUUCAAAAGGCGGCUUCAAUAGAAAUGCUGGGUGCUUGGCUAUCCUGAAAAUUUGGAAUUUUUUUAAUAGGUGCCUAAAUAUAGAUGCAGGAUGGAUGCCAAUUUCCUACUGGCAUUUGAAAAUGUAGUCUUGAGUCUGUGCUUCCUGUGCAUAAGGGAAACAGCAGAAUAACAUUGUCUCUGAAUUGGAUCUAUAUUCUAUUAAACUGGCAUUAUAAACCUCUGUAAUGUGUAGUUGUUAGAGUGAAUAUUUAUGCACUUUGGCUGUCAUGACAGUCUGUAGGAUAUAGAGGCUACCUGAAAAUGUUCAUUUCCUUCUAAUUGUUCUGAAUACCUGAAGUAAGGAAAUGGCUGUUCUGAACCUCUAAGGAAGGAGCCCUCUGCCAUCAACCAAUGAUGAACCAGAAGAACAAAUGAAGUGGGCCAUAUUUGCAUGUAUUUUACCACCUUUCCUGUCUGAGUAUUUUGGCUGUUUUGCUUAUGAUUCAUUUAUGUUUAUGAUGUAUAUGUAUCAAAACACUGUUAUCCUCAUCGUGUGACGGAUGUGCCAAAGAAUUAUAUGCCCUGAGUUGCUUUAAUGUAACUUCAGUUUUUCACAGCUGGACAGAGGGGAAGAAGGAUUUUAUUUUUUGUGAUAAGAAGUAAUUUGGAUUUCGUGCUACUGAAGAUAUAAUUGCUAUAGGUGUAUUUGGAGCCUAAGGAUCUAUACUUGGCAUCAUAGCUGGAGGUAAUAUAGCAGCCAGGGAUAAGGGUAAAAUAGUACUGCAGUGAGCAGGUAAAGAUGGUGGGGGUGCAGUUGUGCAGUUACUGCUCCCCUCCUCACCCCCCAUCUCCCCCGUUCCUUCUCCACCUAAACUUUAAAACCAACUUCUUAGGAGAGGCAGUGGCCUUUCUAUUCAGGCAGUGCUGAAAGCAUCAGUUGACUUCAUGGCUCAUUAUAAUCUACCUGAUUCCUUCUAAUCUCUCUUCACUUCACAGGAGCUAGCAACCUUGUAUCCUUUUUAAUGGUCUUGAUGCCUCAAUAUUUAAAUUAUCCUUUCUUCUGCAGUAUUGCUGUCUUUUAACCAUUCCUGGUAAAGUUUCUCUUCUGUUUCAUAUCCUGCAGGUUGUUUUAAGUUCUAGGUGAAAAUCUUAACUCAAAUGUAAAAACAACUGACACUGAAGUAUUGGAGGCACUGUCAAAAAUCUCAAGAAGAAUAGAUUUUGUUUUAUGAAUCUGAAUAAGAGAUCUACAUUUAACUAUAAUGAUUACAGGACUAGUGAAACCAUAUCUUUUGACUAUUUGUGCCUAGUUUGUGUUUUUUUUUAAUUUAAUAUAUUAUCUAAGAGAUUAAUAAACAUUCCAAUAAAGUUAUAUUUGUUUUUGCUUUGAUCUUAAAUUGUAGUGUGAGGCCUCUAGCAUAUUAGUUAA